rnacentral:rRNA from 1 species
UACAGAGGGUGCGAGCGUUAAUCGGAAUUACUGGGCGUAAAGCGCACGUAGGUGGCGACGUAAGUCGGGUGUGAAAGCCCCGGGCUCAACCUGGGAAUUGCAUUCGAGACUGCAUUGCUGGAGUACGGAAGAGGAGGGCGGAAUUCCCGGUGUAGCGGUGAAAUGCGUAGAUAUCGGGAGGAACAUCAGUGGCGAAGGCGGCCCUCUGGUCCAGUACUGACGCUGAGGAGCGAAAAGCGUGGGGGAGCGAACAGG